GAUGAAGAACGUAGCGAAAUGCGAUACUUGGUGUGAAUUGCAGAAUCCCGUGAACCAUCGAGUCUUUGAACGCAAGUUGCGACCGAAGCCAUUAGGCCGAGGGCACGCCUGCCUGGGCGUCACACGUCGUUGCCCCCCCAUCUACUCCUUCGGGAUUGCGGGGGGCGGAUGAUGGCCUCCCGUGCGCCUCGUCGCGCGGUUGGCAUAAAUACCAAGUCCUCGGCGACGCACGCCACGACAAUCGGUGGUUGCGAAACCUCGGUUGCCCGUCGUGUGCGGUCGUCGCGCAUCGAGGGCUCGAAAAAAUUGCCGGGCUCCGGCUCGGCUUUCAACGCGACCCCAGGUCAGGCGGGGUUACCCGCUGAAUUUAAGCAUAUCAAUAAGCGGAGGA
rnacentral:misc_RNA from 1 species